AGGCUCCGCUGUGCCUAACCCUAAUCGGGGGAAUUGAUGGUGCUGUCGCCGCGCUCCCUCCGCCCGCCCGCUGUUUUACUCGCUGACUUUCAGCGGGCGAGAGGAGCCGCCCCGGGGGGGGAGAGAAAGGGCCGAAAGGGGCUCCGCGGCCAAAAAACGUCAGCGAGGGGUCCGCUCGCCCCGAUCCGCCCUGGGGUCCCCGCUCGCGUGGCCGCGGUCGGCCGGCACCCGCCAUUGCCGCCGCGAAGAGUUCGCCUCUGUCAGCCUCGGCGGCGCGCGGGAGGUGCGGCGCGCGGCCCCGCGCCCCCAGCAGAGCAAACGGGAGCGGCGC
rnacentral:telomerase_RNA from 1 species